rnacentral:lncRNA from 1 species
CUGUUUUUGCUGAGGAAGGUUGGCCCUGAGCUAACAUCCGUGCCCAACUUCCUCUACUUUACGCGUGGGACGCCUGCCACAGCAUGGCUUGCUAAGUGGUAUGUAGGCCCGCACCAGGGAUCCGAACUGGCAAACCCUGGGCUGCUGAAGCAGAGUGUGCGAACUUAACCACUGUGCCACCGGGCCAGCCCGCCAGUGCCUCAAUUUUGAUUAGGGUUUAUUUAGAUAAUACAUUUUAAAAUGUUUUGGAAAAUACAAUAGAUAAUGAUUCCCCAAAAUAGGAUAACAUGAUAAGUAUUAACCAGCCUUUGUGAUUGUUCUUUGACUUGUAGUGAAUGGACAAAAGGCGAUAGAAUCUAGUUGCCCAAAAUAGCUUUGAAUUCCUAAAGAUCAAAUUCGACUUUCCAUUGUUUAUCUAAUUGCUGUGUGAAUAAAUGGGAAGAUAACCCCACAUUUUAUUCUAAUAGACCACAGCUGUUUAGUCAAUGCAUUUUGUGACAUGACGAUGCACUUUAAUAUUGGAGUCUUUAUUACAUUUUUUCCAGACCCUCAAAUGUUAGAAGAUAAAGAGAUCCUAGGUAUUUUUAAAGCCUAUCUCCCUGAAGGAACUAAAGCUGCAUUCUCUGAGUUUCCAAUGACCCCUGUAAUGGAGGGAUGGCUUUGCAUAGAGCAUCCUCUUGAUUAUAGAGAGGAUAAAAGAAUCCUAAAGACGGUGGAAACAAUACUGGUAAGAAAGCCACAAAAAAUAGGUUCUGAGGGAGUGGAUGAUCGAUUCUGAAAUAUUGGUAAAGAGGCGAAUGUGGCACAGAAGAAACAGAGGAACGUAGGACGGAAUUAUUUCCCAUGGACGGUGAUUCAUUCCAAAGGGCUCCCCUCUCUGAGCUGGGAUUCCUCCCUGGAAGAUGCCAGUAGAAGGCACAAUCUGCCCAAAAGAAACUUAGAACAAGAAGAUGUGGGAGGAAAGGCACAUUUCAGGAAUAUACAUACCUAAAGGACAAAACAAAUCCAAAAGUUGGAUCAAGGGAAACAUCUGG